GAAACCUUGAGGUGUCCUGAAGGUGUGUGCAUUGGAGCUGAGAUUCUGCGGGAUGGAUUAGGAGUAUAUUGUCCUCCCACAGGCCCAGCUCAUAGCACAAGCCAUCGGCCAGGCCUUCAGCAUCGC
rnacentral:precursor_RNA from 7 species